rnacentral:rRNA from 1 species
ACGAGCGGCGGACGGGUGAGUAAUGUCUGGGAAACUGCCUGAUGGAGGGGGAUAACUACUGGAAACGGUAGCUAAUACCGCAUAACGUCGCAAGACCAAAGAGGGGGACCUUCGGGCCUCUUGCCAUCAGAUGUGCCCAGAUGGGAUUAGCUAGUAGGUGGGGUAAUGGCUCACCUAGGCGACGAUCCCUAGCUGGUCUGAGAGGAUGACCAGCCACACUGGAACUGAGACACGGUCCAGACUCCUACGGGAGGCAGCAGUGGGGAAUAUUGCACAAUGGGCGCAAGCCUGAUGCAGCCAUGCCGCGUGUGUGAAGAAGGCCUUCGGGUUGUAAAGCACUUUCAGCGAGGAGGAAGGUGGUGAACUUAAUACGUUCAUCAAUUGACGUUACUCGCAGAAGAAGCACCGGCUAACUCCGUGCCAGCAGCCGCGGUAAUACGGAGGAUGCAAGCGUUAAUCGGAAUUACUGGGCGUAAAGC